rnacentral:lncRNA from 1 species
UCAACCUCUUCUUCUUCCAACCACCUCACUUCUUUAUCAGUUUUUCCAUCAAAAAGUUCUACUCGCCUUGUUUGAGUGCAAAAAGUUGCAAUGGUGUAUACGCAAAUAAUGAAUAUGUAGAUGAGCAGCUGAGUAUCUGAGGAUAGUCGAGAAGCCAUGAGAGCUAUGAUCAUCUAUGUUCAAACCAAUGAGUUGAGACCUAUGAAAAUUGAUUUUUAAACCAGUCAGUAACUCAUAUGAAUAUAAGAUAAACUCGAUCGUGUUGAGAUGAUUCUUAUCCGCAUUGUAGAAGAGCAACGUACGUAUCAUUUUUGCAAAUUGUAAGUAGUAGAAUUGACCAAUGACUUCAAACAGUCCGAUGCCAG